GCCGGGGUAUCCUAGCGGUACGGAGACGGUCUCGAAAACCGUUGCCCUUUGGGCUCGUGGGUUCGAAUCCCAUCCCCGGCG
rnacentral:tRNA from 1 species